GACGAACGCUGGCGGCGGGCUUAACACAUGCAAGUCGAACGGAAAGGCCCUGCUUUUGUGGGGUGCUCGAGUGGCGAACGGGUGAGUAACACGUGAGUAACCUGCCCUUGACUUUGGGAUAACUUCAGGAAACUGGGGCUAAUACCGGAUAGGAGCUCCUGCUGCAUGGUGGGGGUUGGAAAGUUUCGGCGGUUGGGGAUGGACUCGCGGCUUAUCCGCUUGUUGGUUGGGUAGUGGCUUACCAAGGCUUUGACGGGUAGCCGGCCUGAGAGGGUGACCGGCCACAUUGGGACUGAGAUACGGCCCAGACUCCUACGGGAGGCAGCAGUGGGGAAUAUUGCACAAUGGGCGGAAGCCUGAUGCAGCAACGCCGCGUGCGGGAUGACGGCCUUCGGGUUGUAAACCGCUUUCGCCUGUGACGAAGCGUGAGUGACGGUAAUGGGUAAAGAAGCACCGGCUAACUACGUG
rnacentral:rRNA from 1 species